rnacentral:rRNA from 1 species
UACCCGCUGAACUUAAGCAUAUCAAUAAGCGGAGGAAAAGAAACUAACAAGGAUUCCCCUAGUAACGGCGAGUGAAGUGGGAAAAGCUCAACUUUGAAAUCUGGCACCUUCGGUGUCCGAGUUGUAGUCUCUAGAAGUGUCUUCCGUGCUGGCCCAUGUGUGAGUCUGUUGGAACACAGCGUCAUAGAGGGUGACAACCCCGUUCAUAACAUGGACCCCAGUGCUUUGUGAUACACUCUCGACGAGUCGAGUUGUUUGGGAAUGCAGCUCAAAUUGGGUGGUAAAUUCCAUCUAAAGCUAAAUAUUGGCGAGAGACCGAUAGCAAACAAGUACCGUGAGGGAAAGAUGAAAAGCACUUUGGAAAGAGAGUUAACAGUACGUGAAAUUGUUGAAAGGGAAACGAUUGAAGUCAGACGUGCGUGGUGCGGUUCAGCUCUGGUUCGCCAGAGUGUAUUCCGUGCCUUUGCAGGCCAACAUCGGUUUCACGAGGCGGAUAAAGGCUUGAGAAAUGUGGCACCUUCGGGUGUGUUAUAGUCUCUUGCUGAAUACGCCUCGAGGGACCGAGGAACGCAGCGCGCCGCAAGGCAAAGACUCCGGUCUUUUCGCGCUUAGGAUGUUGGUGAAAUGGCUUUAAACGACCCGUCUUGAAACACGGACC